GACGAACGCUGGCGGCGUGCUUAACACAUGCAAGUCGAACGGAAAGGCCCUGCUUUUGUGGGGUGCUCGAGUGGCGAACGGGUGAGUAACACGUGAGUAACCUGCCCUUGACUUUGGGAUAACUUCAGGAAACUGGGGCUAAUACCGGAUAGGAGCUCCUGCUGCAUGGUGGGGGUUGGAAAGUUUCGGCGGUUGGGGAUGGACUCGCGGCUUAUCAGCUUGUUGGUGGGGUAGUGGCUUACCAAGGCUUUGACGGGUAGCCGGCCUGAGAGGGUGACCGGCCACAUUGGGACUGAGGUACGGACCAGACUCCUACGGGAGGCAGCAGUGGGGAAUAUUACACAAUGGGCGGAAGCCUGAUACAGCAACGCCGCGUGCGGGAUGACGGCCUUCGGGUUGUAAACCGCUUUCGCCUGUGACGAAGCGUGAGUGACGGUAAUGGGUAAAGAAGCACCGGCUAACUACGUG
rnacentral:rRNA from 1 species